rnacentral:rRNA from 1 species
AAUCAACGCUGGCGGCGUGCCUCAGACAUGCAAGUCGAACGAUUAAAGCUCUCUUCGGAGAGUGUAUAGAGUGGCGCACGGGUGAGUAACACGUAAGUAAUCUACCUUUGAGUGGGGAAUAACAGUCGGAAACGACUGCUAAUACCGCAUAAUGCAGCGGCACCGCAAGGUGACAGUUGUUAAAGGAGCAAUUCGCUUAAAGAGGAGCUUGCGGCAGAUUAGCUUGUUGGUAAGGUAACGGCUUACCAAGGCUACGAUCUGUAUCCGGUCUAAGAGGACGGUCGGACACACUGACACUGAAUAACGGGUCAGACUCCUACGGGAGGCAGCAGUCGGGAAUUUUGGGCAAUGGGCGAAAGCCUGACCCAGCAACGCCGCGUGAAGGAUGAAGUAUUUCGGUAUGUAAACUUCGAAAGAAUGGGAAGAAUAAAUGACGGUACUAUUUAUAAGCUCCGGCUAACUACGUG